ACACAAUGGACUAUGACUCAGCCAUAAAUAAUAAUGAAAUUCUAUCAUUUGCAACAAUGUGGAUGGACCUAGAGAGUACUAUGCUUAGUGAAUUAAGUCAGAUAGACAAAUACUGUGAUAUCACUUAUAUGUGGAACCUAAAAAAUAAAACAAAUGUAUGUAACAAAACAGAAACAUACUCACAGAUAUGGAGAAGUUUAAUGGUUACCAAUGGGGAGAGGAAAGUUGGGGGAGGCAAGAUAGCAGUCUGGGAUUAAGAGGUAAAAAAUACUAGGUGUAAAAUAAAUAAGCAACAAGAAGAUGUUGUACCCCACAGAGAAAUAUAGCCAUUAUUUUGUAAUAGUUUUGAAUGAAGUAUAAUCUCUAAAAAUAUUAAAUCACUAUGUAGUACAUAUGGGGACUAAUAUAAUAUUGUAAAUCAACUUUACUUCAGUGAAAAUAAAUAAGUAAAUAGAAAAAGAAGAAGAAAAAAAAAGGAAAACAAAUGAGAGAGACUGAGAUACUGGGUACCCAUGGUGGAAUGGCUUUAAAUAAUCUCAGUUGAGUUGACCUAAGCUGAGAAAUAAAGGAUGAAAAUGAAUCAGCCACACAAAAAAUUGGGGAGAGUAGAUUAAGUAGAGGAAACAGCAUGUGCAAGAGCCCUAAGGCUCUUGAAGGAAUCCUGAGAAAAUGGGUAUGGCUGAACAUUGUUGAAGGGAGGAGAGAGGGUCAUGAAAUGACUCUGCAGAGGUGGUCAGAGGCCAAGUCUUCUGGGACUUAAUAAAUCAUAGUGAGGAGCUGGAAUAUUAUUCUAAGUGCUCUGAAAUCGAAAGGAUCUUAGGUGAAAGGACUUGCUGAUUACAAAGACUGACCUAACCUCAGAUCACUGUGUAGGCAAACGGUAAAAUUUCAGUUAAGUGAAAGAUGGAAGAAAAUUUGUUCUCUGUACCUCACAAUGUUACUAAUGAGAGAAAGAUGGAAUUAGAUAUGUAGAAGUUUUAUGGAGGCUAUAUGAUGGUUUAUAGAUGCAAAGUGAUGAAAAGAAAGACAUAUAGGAGCUAAAUCCAGCUGGCUUUGUUGGGCUUUCCUUUGCAAUGGAAUUGCGUUUUUCAAUGUCCAGGGUACUUCGUGAAUGGCAUCUCAAUUUGUUUUACCAAAAAUUAAGUUGCACAGAGUGGAGCUAGGCAGGUAAGUCUUCCUCUCUGUGAUUUCUGGAUUUAUAGAUACAUGGUUGGCUAUUCCUAAAAUGAAUGCUUGCAGACGCAUAGUGACAUCUUGGUGAGGGUCCUGCCAAAAGUUUGUUAGUGUGGAUGAAAGAGGAGCAAGAAUCCAAAGAUGCCAGGGAAGAAUAUGGCCUUUUAUUUGUCUGGCAUUUGGGAAUAUUUUAAUAUUAUUUUUCAAAUCCUUAUCUCAUGGUCAUGAUGAUUCUGUAAAAUAAAUGAAACAGGCAGAACUAUCUCCAAAUCAUAAAAGAGUAAGCAGAGGCUUUGAGAAGUGGAGUGUUACAUGGUCAGUCGUGGUUAAAAUGGACAAUGAGAUUUUAUCUUCUAACUUGUGCUUUUUUGUCUUAUGAGACAACUCCAGUGACUUCUCUGACCUUCCAAUCCAAUAUAAUGCCCCCUUUUCAGGAAUGCAUGAAAUAGGAUCUGGGGUCAUUGGGACUCCAUUUCCCUUGGGACUGUUUAAAACCUCAUCCGCUGAGAUGGGAAGAG